UACGGAGGAUGCGAGCGUUAUCCGGAAUCAUUGGGUUUUAAAGGGUGCGUAGGCUGGUAUUUAAGUCAGUGGUGAAAUUUUCGUGCUUAACAUGAGAGCUGCCAUUGAUACUGGAUACCUUGAGUGUAUUUGAUGUGGGCGGAAUGUGUUGUGUAGCGGUGAAAUGCAUAGAUAUGACACAGAACACCGAUAGCGAAGGCAGCUCACAAAGUUACAACUGACGCUGAUGCACGAAAGCGUGGGGAUCAAACAGG
rnacentral:rRNA from 1 species